UAAAACCAAUGAACAGCUGCAGAGAGUGGAGACCCGGCAAAGCAGACAAAUGAAUACUGAAAGGGAUCCCCAAAGGAGGUGCAAGGAUCCGGGACUCUAGUGUCUGCCAGAAGCUUCAGCCACCUUCACAGGUUAGAGCUCGCCGUCCAUUGCGGAGGUGAAGACCGGAUGGGAGCUGCUGGAUUGACCUUGAUGUGCCAUGUCCUUGUGUGGAUGAAGGACCUACAUCUCAGGGGUGGCCAGCAGCAGAUAUAACACCUGUGUCCAGGAAUGGGCUAAAUAACCUACAUUGAGAGAUCUCAGCCGCUCAGCAGAAUGCGGGAGAGCCGAGUGCUGAUGGGCUAGAGGGUCCCAGGAGUCGCUGUGCAGCAGUGGCAGGGUCUGCAGUCACCAUGGGCCACACCCUGCGCUCCAGACAACCCAGGCUGGUUCCCUGGAUUGCAAAGGGGACUCUGGCUUGGGGAAUUGGUGCUGGUGCCUGUGUCCACAGCUGGGAUGUUUUCCUGAGGCUACUCCAUGGUCCAAGAAGCACCAUGAAAGCAAGAGGAGAAUGGACAUUAGAGAGCA